UUAUAACAAUGUUUUUUGAAAGUAUGAUUUAACCAUAUAAUGCCCAAAUUGAUGCAUUUCUACGUAACAUUUGUUUUUACAACCGUAACUUUUUCUUUAAGCAUAGAGAAUAUACCGACACCUUGCGUUAUACUUCUUCAUAUGCUUCGAACCACACGUAUUUAUGUGCGUAUAUUUUGUAAAUAUGCCAUCAUGUAUAAAAUAGAUGGUGGUUUCUUUUGGAACAAGUUAGGUGUUUAAAGAAAAUGAAAAGAAAAAAGCUAACAAGCCAAGUUACAAAAAAAAAAGAAAGCUAACAAUACUUAAUUCAAAAGCUUCCCUCCCCUUUUUAAUAGAGUAGAUUCUUUAAUCUCGUUGACACUUGGGACAAUCUCCUAGCCAAAACAAAUUCUCAAUAGUGAUAAACAUGAAUGUUGAUGUCAUCUUUCAUUAAAAAGAGGUGUUUUCGUAACACAUAUAACCAAUAAUCUGCGUGAAAUAUUAAUGGACUGAGAUGGAUUUAUUUAAGGACUCUACAGAGAUGGGGAAAGAUGCGUUUCUAUAUAUAAUCUUGUGGGUUGUAUUCAGAGUAAGUGUUCUAUGAAUCUUGAAUCCAGCCUAGGAUUUUCAUUUAAAUGCAAGUGUCCUAUAAAUAUUGAAUUGUUCAUUGUCUAUCGCAGUUAUGGCUAUGAAUGCAUUUUUUUUUUGAAAAAGUCUUGCAAAUGGCUAUGAAUGAUGGUGAUAAAUACAAUAGUGGUGCUGUGCGAUUUAAACUUCUUGAAAAAAAAAUCUUCAAAAGAAAUUAGAAAACAAGUUCAUAUGGGUUUUUUUUUUGUAACUGAAUACUCUAGCAUGUUUGUUGUAAUGUGUAGAAACAUAUUGGUAUAUUUGUUUCGAUUAAUACAACUAUAUAAAAAAAUCAUCGUAGUUAUUAACCUCUUGUUGGUUUUCACAUGAAGAUCAAAACCUAGGUUUAUAUUUAACAAAAAUUAUCA
rnacentral:lncRNA from 1 species